GAGCGGUCAAGGAUCGGGCAACAGGAUGGGUAUAAAGGCAGCAACACCCCAGCCAGGGCAUCACUGACUCAACUGCUGCUACAACAAUACCCACAACAACAACAACAACAACAACCAUGCGUGUCCUGGCAGUGUUGUGCGUGCUGGUGCUAAUGGCGGCCGCCGUGCUGGCCGGUGUUGGCUACUACAGUUCUGGCAGCGGUGGAAGGCGCUUCGGCGGUGGAGGCCUUGGGGGUGGCAGAUUCAGCGGUGGCGGCUUCGGCGGUGGCAACUUUGGGGGUGGUGGCUUCGGAGGAGACUUUGGAGGCGGUUCCUUUGGUGGAAGCUUCGGCGGCGGCAGGGGCUAUUACGGUCAUUGAGGCGACACCGCGGGCACGAUCACGGCAAGACUCCUGACGGCGACGGUGAAGGUGAAUGUGAAGUGGCCAAUAAAGCUAUCUUGAUGUG